GACGAACGCUGGCGGCGUGCUUAACACAUGCAAGUCGAACGAAGUGGCGAACGGGUGAGUAACGCGUAAUCAACCUGCCCUUCGGAGGGGGACAACAGUUGGAAACGACUGCUAAUACAGCAUACUGAAGGAGGGGAUUGCGUCUGCUUAGCUAGUUGGAGGGGUAACGGCCCACCAAGGCGAUGAUCGGACGCCGGUCUGAGCGGAUGAACGGCCAGCUUGGGACUGAGCCUCGCCCCAGUAUCCUACGGGAGGCAGAAGUGGGGAAGCUUCCGCAAUGGAGGAAAGUCUGACGGAUCAACGCCGCGUGAGUGAUGACCGCCUUCGGGUCGUAAAGCUCUGUUAAUCGUGACGCGGUCUCGGACUAGAAAGCCACGGCUAACUACGUGCCAGCAGCCGCGGUAAUUC
rnacentral:rRNA from 1 species